AGACCAGUCCAAACCAGUUCAGACCAGUUCAAACCGGAGCCAGCUGAAAUGUGGGAUUAUAAAUGGAUCCCAAAAAUCCCCAAAAUCCCGGAGCAAUUCCCUUCUUUUCUUGUGUGAUUGGAGUAAAAUGGGAGCUGAUCCCAGUUCAGACCAGUCCAAACCAGUUCAGACCAGUUCAGACCAGUCCAGACCAGUUCAGACCAGUUCAAACCGUUUCAAACCAGUUCAGGUUCCUGGGAUAACGAACAGGAAGAGCCCAAUCCCAAGAAUCCCCCAAAUCCUGGAGCAAACUGGGAUUUUCUGGGUCAAACUGGGAGUUCAAACCACUCUAGACCAGUUUAAACCAGUUCAAACCAGUUCAGAUCAGUCCAGACUUCUGGGAUAACAAACAGGAAGAGCCCAAUCCCAAAAAUCCCCCAAAUCCUGGAUCAAACUGGGAUUUAUUGGCUCAAACUGGGAUUUAUUGGAUCAAACUGGGAUUUAUUGGAUCAAACUGGGAUUUAUUGGGUCAAACUGGGAUUUAUUGGGUCAAACUGGGAUUUAUUGG
rnacentral:lncRNA from 1 species